rnacentral:rRNA from 1 species
GACGAACGCUGGCGGCGUGCUUAACACAUGCAAGUCGAACGGAAAGGCCCUGCUUUUGUGGGGUGCUCGAGUGGCGAACGUGUGAGUAACACGUGAGUAACCUGCCCUUGACUUUGUGAUAACUUCAGGAAACUGGGGCUAAUACCGGAUAGGAGCUCCUGCUGCAUGGUGUGGGUUGGAAAGUUUCGGCGGUUGGGGAUGGACUCGCGGCUUAUCAGCUUGUUGGUGGGGUAGUGGCUUACCAAGGCUUUGACGGGUAGCCGGCAUGAGAGGGUGACCGGCGACAAUGGGACUGAGAUACGGCACAGACUCCUACGGGAGGCAGCAGUGGGGAAUAUUGCACAAUGGGCGGAAGCCUGAUGAAGCAACGCCGCGUGCGGGAUGACGGCCUUCGGGUUGUAAACCGCUUUAGACUGUGACGAAGCGUGAGUGACGGUAAUGGGUAAAGAAGCACCGGCUAACUACGUG